AUCAUUUCUAUAGAUUUUGACUUGAGAAAUAUCGUACGAAAGUGAUCGGUUACUCUAACCACGAUGAAGAGUAUUGAUGUUCCCUUCUGAGCGCGAAGCGGGUAGCGAGUAAUGAUUGAUUUCAUCCGCUCGUUGUCAUUGAUGACCGUUCCUUGCUCCCUCGUGGAGCCUGGAGGUAGGGAACAUGAUCAGAGUGGUUAGGUCUAGAUUUUGUCAAAAAUAAGAAUAUUGAGCGUCAUAUUCAGUCUCUAUGCUCAAAUGAAAUUGACGUGCUCUUGCGGUAUCCUUAAUAGUAGACCAUGUUUUGUAAACC
ensembl:lncRNA